rnacentral:rRNA from 1 species
ACCGGGAUUGCCCUAGUAACGGCGAGUGAAGCGGCAACAGCUCAAAUUUGAAAUCUGCCCUUUGGGCCGAGUUGUACUUUGCAGAGGAUGCGUUUGGCCUGGUCCCGCCUGAGUCCCCUGGAACGGGGCGCCAAAGAGGGUGAGAGCCCCGUAGCGGUGGAUGCCUAGCCAGUGUAAUGCUCCUUCGACGAGUCGAGUAGUUUGGGAAUGCUGCUCUAAAUGGGAGGUAAAUUCCUUCUAAAGCUAAAUACCUGCCAGAGACCGAUAGCGUACAAGUAGAGUGAUCGAAAGAUGAAAAGCACUUUGAAAAGAGAGUUAAACAGCACGUGAAAUUGUUGAAAGGGAAGCGCCUAUGACCAGACUUGCGCUGGGUCGAUCUCCCGUCGUUCUCGGCGGUGUACUCGGCCCGGUUCAGGCCAGCAUCAGUUUUGGCAGGGGGAGAAAAGCCCUGGGAAUGUGACUCUUUCGGGAGUGUUAUAGCCUGGGGCAGAAUACCCCUGUUGGAACUGAGGACCGCGCUCUGCGAGGAUGCUGGCGUAAUGGUUAUUAGCGACCCGUCUUGAAACACGGACCAAGGAGUCAAGGUAGUACGCGAGUGUUUGGGUGUCAAACCCGCACGCGUAAUGAAAGUGAACGUAGGUGAGAGCCUCGGCGCAUCACCGACCGAUCCUGAUGUCUUCGGAUGGAUUUGAGUAGCAGCGUAGUGCCUUGGACCCGAAAGAUGGUGAACUAUGCUUGGAUAGGGUGAAGCCAGAGGAAACUCUGGUGGAGGCUCGCAGCGGUUCUGACGUGCAAAUCGAUCGUCAAAUCUGGGCAUGGGGGCGAAAGACUAAUCGAACCAUGCUUGUCGC